CCUACGGGAGGCAGCAGUGAGGAAUUUUCCGCAAUGGGCGAAAGCCUGACGGAGCAAUACCGCGUGAGGGAUGAAGGAUUUUGGUCUGUAAACCUCUUUUCUCAAGAAAGAAGUUCUGACGGUACUUGAGGAAUAAGCAUCGGCUAACUCCGUGCCAGCAGCCGCGGUAAUACGGGGGAUGCAAGCGUUAUCCGGAAUGAUUGGGCGUAAAGCGCCUGUAGGUUGUUUAUUAAGUCCGUUGUUAAAGCCUAGGGCUCAACCCUAGAAAAGCAAUGGAAACUAGUAGACUAGAGUAUGGCAGGGGUANAGGGAAUUUCUAGUGUAGCGGUGAAAUGCGUAGAUAUUAGAAAGAACACCGGUGGCGAAAGCGCUCUACUGGACCAUUACUGACACUCAGAGGCGAAAGCUAGGGUAGCAAAAGGGAUUAGAUACCCCUGUAGUCCUAGCCGUAAACGAUGGAUACUAGAUGUUGUGCAUUAUGUACAGUAUCGUAGCUAACGCGUUAAAGUAUCCCGCCUGGGGAGUACGCUCGCAAGGGUGAAACUCAAAAGGAAUUGAACGG
rnacentral:rRNA from 1 species